AUUGAACGCUGGCGGCAGGCUUAACACAUGCAAGUCGGGCGGGGGAAGGUAGCUUGCUACCGGACCUAGCGGCGGACGGGUGAGUAAUGCUUAGGAAUCUGCCUAUUAGUGGGGGACAACAUCUCGAAAGGGAUGCUAAUACCGCAUACGUCCUACGGGAGAAAGCAGGGGAUCUUCGGACCUUGCGCUAAUAGAUGAGCCUAAGUCGGAUUAGCUAGUUGGUGGGGUAAAGGCCUACCAAGGCGACGAUCUGUAGCGGGUCUGAGAGGAUGAUCCGCCACACUGGGACUGAGACACGGCCCAGACUCCUACGGGAGGCAGCAGUGGGGAAUAUUGGAUAAUGGGGGAACCCUGAUCCAGCCAUGCCGCGUGUGUGAAGAAGGCCUUAUGGUUGUAAAGCACUUUAAGCGAGGAGGAGGCUACUUUAGUUAAUACCUAGAGAUAGUGGACGUUACUCGCAGAAUAAGCACCGGCUAACUCUGUGCCAGCCGCCGCAGUAA
rnacentral:rRNA from 1 species